rnacentral:rRNA from 1 species
AUGGAGAGUCUCCUUCAUUGGGACUUCUCCCCGGGAUUGACGAUUGAAUCUCAGGUACGUGCUAAGUUUGGGUCCACGGUGCACUUUUCUCGGGCAAACCAUGGAUCAUCUAAGGAAUUCUUUCUGGUUGUUUCUUUCUCAUCGGCUUCUUUCAAGUUGACUGAGGAAUCUGUGGCCCUAGCGCUCCAAUCUUGCAUUGGC